CCUACGGGGGGCUGCAGUGGGGAAUAUUGGACAAUGGGGGCAACCCUGAUCCAGCCAUGCCGCGUGUGUGAAGAAGGCCCUCGGGUUGUAAAGCACUUUCAGUGAGGAAGAACGCCUGGUGGUUAAUACCCAUCAGGAAAGACAUCACUCACAGAAGAAGCACCGGCUAACUCCGUGCCAGCAGCCGCGGUAAUACGGAGGGUGCGAGCGUUAAUCGGAAUUACUGGGCGUAAAGCGCGCGUAGGUGGCUUGAUAAGCCGGUUGUGAAAGCCCCGGGCUCAACCUGGGAACGGCAUCUGGAACUGUCAAGCUAGAGUGCAGGAGAGGAAGGUAGAAUUCCCGGUGUAGCGGUGAAAUGCGUAGAGAUCGGGAGGAAUACCAGUGGCGAAGGCGGCCUUCUGGACUGACACUGACACUGAGGUGCGAAAGCGUGGGUAGCAAACAGGAUUAGAUACCCCUGUAGUC
rnacentral:rRNA from 1 species